rnacentral:lncRNA from 1 species
GGCCUCUGAAGCUCUUCCGUUAGAACAGGGUUUGCAUGAAUCUUGAGAAGCUAAGGGUGGCUACUGGGAUUGGUUUGCCCGCCACUGUCCACUCUUCCGUCUGCCUGGGGAGAGUACGGGAGAGCACAAGCACACUGAGCUACAUUGCCACUGGGUCUUGCAACUAAGUGUUGGACGUGGGCUACAGCCCUGUGCUGCCAGGGUCUGGAACACAAGGAGGCGGGCUAUUUUCUUACUGUUUGGCUGUUCAGCUACAGGCCCCUUCACGUCCCUCUGCUCCCCCGUUGUUGGCUUCCAGGGCAGCAUCCCGGACCCCUGAGCAUCUGUGGUGGACGCAGUGGAGUUCCGGAGGACCUUGGGCUGAGGCUGCACUGCUGUGUCCUGCCUGCCGUGUUCUGGGACCUCCCCAGCACCCAGCCACAAUCAGCCCUCCAGCACCUGGGCUUCUGUCUGACUAUCAAGAAUCUGACGGGAUGGCAGCUGGGACCACGGACACGCAGCUCAGGUCCUCCUUUCCUGAUGCCUUGUUGGUGAAGAUGGUCCAGGCUGUGCGAGGGGGUCUGCUCUCCUCACGGCUUCCUGUGCUGCCGGUUCACUCUCCACCCAUCCACCUUCCACAUGCCGAGCUUUUGUAGCCAAUUCUGAGGAUACGAAGUUUUAUUACAGAAAUGGAAGACAAGUUUUGGUGCUUUGA